GGGCUGCAGAAGAUCAUAAGCAGGAUGAUCGCCGUGCAAAUAAGGCAGCAAGUGAGCUGGGCGCAGAGCUUCGGGCCGCAGAGCUCGGAGCCCAUCACGAACGGGU
rnacentral:rRNA from 13 species